GACGAACCGAGCGAACGUUGUUCGGAAUCACUGGGCUUAAAGGGUGCGUAGGCGGGCUGCCAAGUUUGGGGUGAAAUCCUCCGGCUCAACCGGGGAAGUGCCUCGAAUACUGGCGGUCUGGAGGGAGGUAGGGGCGUGCGGAACUGUGGGUGGAGCGGUGAAAUGCGUUGAUAUCCACAGGAACUCCGGUGGCGAAGGCGGCACGCUGGACCUUUUCUGACGCUGAGGCACGAAAGCCAGGGGAGCGAACGGG
rnacentral:rRNA from 1 species